rnacentral:rRNA from 1 species
AUUGAACGCUGGCGGCAGGCCUAACACAUGCAAGUCGAACGGUAGCACAGAGAGCUUGCUCUCGGGUGACGAGUGGCGGACGGGUGAGUAAUGUCUGGGAAACUGCCCGAUGGAGGGGGAUAACUACUGGAAACGGUAGCUAAUACCGCAUAACGUCGCAAGACCAAAGAGGGGGACCUUCGGGCCUCUUGCCAUCGGAUGUGCCCAGAUGGGAUUAGCUUGUAGGUGAGGUAACGGCUCACCUAGGCGACGAUCCCUAGCUGGUCUGAGAGGAUGACCAGCCACACUGGAACUGAGACACGGUCCAGACUCCUACGGGAGGCAGCAGUGGGGAAUAUUGCACAAUGGGCGCAAGCCUGAUGCAGCCAUGCCGCGUGUAUGAAGAAGGCCUUCGGGUUGUAAAGUACUUUCAGCGGGGAGGAAGGGAGUGAGGUUAAUAACCUCGUUCAUUGACGUUACCCGCAGAAGAAGCACCGGCUAACUCCGUGCCAGCAGCCGCGGUAAUACGGAGGGUGCGAGCGUUAAUCGGAAUUACUGGGCGUAAAGCGCACGCAGGCGGUCUGUCAAGUCGGAUGUGAAAUCCCCGGGCUCAACCUGGGAACUGCAUUCGAAACUGGCAGGCUGGAGUCUUGUAGAGGGGGGUAGAAUUCCAGGUGUAGCGGUGAAAUGCGUAGAGAUCUGGAGGAAUACCGGUGGCGAAGGCGGCCCCCUGGACAAAAGACUGACGCUCAGGUGCGAAAGCGUGGGGAGCAAACAGGAUUAGAUACCCUGGUAGUCCACGCUGUAAACGAUGUCGACUUGGAGGUUGUUCCCUUGAGGAGUGGCUUCCGGAGCUAACGCGUUAAGUCGACCGCCUGGGGAGUACGGCCGCAAGGUUAAAACUCAAAUGAAUUGACGGGGGCCCGCACAAGCGGUGGAGCAUGUGGUUUAAUUCGAUGCAACGCGAAGAACCUUACCUACUCUUGACAUCCAGAGAACUUAGCAGAGAUGCUUUGGUGCCUUCGGGAACUCUGAGACAGGUGCUGCAUGGCUGUCGUCAGCUCGUGUUGUGAAAUGUUGGGUUAAGUCCCGCAACGAGCGCAACCCUUAUCCUUUGUUGCCAGCGAUUCGGUCGGGAACUCAAAGGAGACUGCCAGUGAUAAACUGGAGGAAGGUGGGGAUGACGUCAAGUCAUCAUGGCCCUUACGAGUAGGGCUACACACGUGCUACAAUGGCAUAUACAAAGAGAAGCGACCUCGCGAGAGCAAGCGGACCUCAUAAAGUAUGUCGUAGUCCGGAUUGGAGUCUGCAACUCGACUCCGUGAAGUCGGAAUCGCUAGUAAUCGUGGAUCAGAAUGCCACGGUGAAUACGUUCCCGGGCCU